ensembl:lncRNA
AUUAGAUUAAGUCUCCAUUCCAUUCACAGAAAUCUCAUUAGCAAAUAAUGGUGAUUCCCUGUUUAAGUGUAGCUAGCAAGGCAAUCCAAAUGGGGAUGAUGGUACCGUCUCAACACGGAAAAAAACACUCUCAAGACCGACAAGAUCCCAAAUGAUUCUGACAUACCAAAUUGUAAACAAAAAGUCAAAAUGAAGACAGCCCCUGAAUCUUGACCGAACGACCAAACGGCGGACACGUCGGAAUCUUCCCCAAACCUUUUGAUGUUUUGACUCCACCAAUCUGGCUGAUAUCAAUAAAAUAAUAAAUGAAUACAAACCCAAAGACGUGAGGAGAUAACGGCCCGCCGCUGCCUCCAGCAUCCCGCGGUCAGUCGGCUCCUGCACUCCAUUUGGGAUUGCUCAUUCGGGACUGAUUGUGAUUGACAGAAUGGAAUUGAUCCAUCCCCAAUCUCAGGGAGUGAACUUCAACACGACGGCCCCGCCCAUGUUGUCCACGGCAACGCGGCGCCGCUAAUGCGGUCUGACAGCGCGUCACCUGCCCGCCGCCGCGCUAUCGGGACGCAUCGACCCCGUCUGCGAUAGCACCGCCGCUAACACGCCGCCGCCACGCUUGUCAGCCAGGCGGGCGACGGAACGCUUUCCUCGGACCGGAUGAUGCGUGAUACGAUCAAAAGGGGGCCUUCUUCACGCAGUGAACUCAUUGGCUAGAGUGAAGAGCAGCAUGCCUGUGAUUCGGGAGAUUGAACGUCGCGAGUCGCGGGAAUCUGAUCGUGUGGACACAACACCACAACUCUAUUUGUGUAGGCGAAGCAAGACUUCUAUUUCCCUCCCGCCCGGUCUUGAGUGUAUUUUGCCCGAGACACAACAGUGAUUUUGUGCCAUGGGGGUUGGGGAACGCGUAAUCUGCCCUGUACUGAACAACCCUGGAUCCCCAUGCAGCCCAUGCUGAAGAGACAGGUCCUUUUAUCUGCGCGGAGCAAGAAUAAAAAAACACCUCUUUCUUUCGGCUUGUAUUUUCUUGCCUCGUCGCUGCCUCCAGUUAUUCUUGUGUUUCUUGUGUUUUGCCAUUUCCCUUGUGUCUCCUGCGCUCCACUCUUUGUCUCGUUCGCUAUGCGUGGGUGUGUAACUGUGUGGUGUUGGCGGGGCCCCUCCAUUCAUUCGCCUGAUCGCUGGUCAUCACGUUCACCUUCGAAAUCCGUCCUCUCAUCAACUCUUCAGUAUUUCUACCCCCCUGGUUCUUCUCUCACCUCUUCAACAGAUCGCCGCUUCGACCCGAGUGGAUCAAUAAAGGCCCAUCUACCGGCCCGCCUGUUCAUCUCCCUGCCUGCCAUUCAGCAAUCCCACCUGCCGAUCUCUGGCUUCCAGGCUCGCUUCUAAAACCACACUCUCCCGUGUGCUUCAGCAGUCUUAAACCUCACCCUACUUCGUCUGCCGGACUUUCCCCCCUCAUCCAUCCUCGUUCCCUGGACAUCCUGUCAAUAAACCUCUCUCCUUAUUCAUUCCACCCCUGAGUCUGUGCCUACGUCCCCGGGUGGAUUGUAACAGAACUCAGUGUCUCCUCACCCACUUCCCCCUCCGCCCCUCGCAGCUACGAGUUCUCUCAAGGUUUUUUUUUUUUCCGCUGCACCCCGCUCAGCAACACCACCCUAAUGUGAUUGCACGUUAUUUAUCCCCCAGAGUACCGAGCCGCCCUCGCGUAUCUCUUCCAAAACAACCGGGAGAGCGGUGAAGCCCACGUAAUUACAUGAUGAUGUAAUGAGACGGCGGCGCAAC